AACACUGUUAACCUGCGGUACCUGCGGAGGGAUCAUUACAAGUGACCCCGGUCUAACCACCGGGAUGUUCAUAACCCUUUGUUGUCCGACUCUGUUGCCUCCGGGGCGACCCUGCCUUCGGGCGGGGGCUCCGGGUGGACACUUCAAACUCUUGCGUAACUUUGCAGUCUGAGUAAACUUAAUUAAUAAAUUAAAACUUUCAACAAUGGAUCU
rnacentral:misc_RNA from 1 species